UCAGAGACUUUUGCAGAGCAUUUUCAGUGCGGAUUUUGAAGCUGUUUGGAGGAUUUCACAGAGGAGAAAGGACAGUUUUAUUUAAUUGUUCUUUUUCUUACUUUAUAAGGAGUUUGGAGUUUCAUUUAAUAUAUUAUUUUAUUUCUUUUUUUUUCUUUCUUUUUGGGAGGAGUGUUUCUGAGGAGAGUUGUAUCUUAUUCUUUUUUUAUAUUGUAUUUUGUAUUGUUUUUUAUUGCAGUUUGGAGGAGGAUGUCGAAGGCUCACAGGGGUGAAAGAGGAGCCUCCAGAUCCAGGAGAGCUGCUUCCUCUCAGACGGCCGGUCAGGAGGUUUGGAGACCCGGUUCUGAUGACCGCCAUCAGGAUCCGCUGCCAGACCAGACCCGGACGCUGAGCCAGGAGCUACCUGGAUAUUUAACACCUCUUCCCUCUGAGUCUGUUUUUGUGUCCACAGGUCAGGAUCACUGGAGGAGGAAGUGGCAGAGCAGCAGCCAGCAGAGCCCAGAUGAUGGACGUCCGUCCAAUCCUUUUAAAAGACCUGCUACAUGGUCUCGCAGAGAUUCUUCACCAGGCAUCAUGUCCACAUCAUCUUUGUCCCUCUCUGAGGACAAUGUAAAGAGGCGGUUCUGUAGAGAGUCAUUAAGCCUGAGCAGCAGAGGCUCAUACAGCGUCUGUUGGAGGUGGAGUGGUGAUGGAUCGGAGAGCCCAAACGAACAGGGCAGUUGUGGCAACCGCUGUUUGUCCAGGUCUGACAGCCUGGAAGAGUGGAUGAGCCCUCCGCUGCCAGGUCAAGUUCCUGUUGAGCCAACAGAGACUUCAAAUGGCCGAACUGCCCAGGGUGCCAUGGAGUCUUCUCCUGUGAACAAGAGCUCAACAG